UUCAUAUCUAUGUGCAUGCAUAGGUAUACGUAUAUAUGAAUACAUCUUCACUAGUAGUACUAUUUCGUUAAGCGCAUCUACUAAGCAGUAUGAACUGUGUUUAAGGCACAUACGCACAGCGUGUAUCACUCCGCUAUAGACACUGUUUGUAAACAUGUCAAAUAAAGUAAACGCGUAGAAACAUAACGAUGCCUUCAACAUCGACGAAUGUGCUCAGAACAAUGGAGGUUGCAACCAUAUUUGUGUGAAUUCACCCGGAAGUUUUGAGUGUGUGUGCUACAAAGGAUUCAUAUUGGAAAACAAAACCCAUUGCGACGACAACAAUUAUUGCAAAUGGACAAAUUCGUUCCCGGGAUGCGUAUCAUGUACCAGCGGAACUUUCGCAAGGAAUCCUCUGAAAAUGAGCGAAUUUUACCAAUGCGUCCACGGGAAGAUGCUUAUAAGGAAAUGUCCGAUCGGAACGAUUUGGAACCAGAAGAAUUUUACGUGCAAUACACAGAAACCCAGCGAUGGUCUGGCAUCAAAUCAUGGAGUUGAUGUGAAAAAACGGAACUUCUGCAUCUUCCCGUCGACAGAAAACUGUGUGGCCUGCGAAGAUGGUUUCUAUGAAGACAAGGACGACUGCGGCAAGUUCUACCUGUGUAACUUCGGAGGUUUAAUAAGGAUGGACUGCCAGAAAGGAUGGUACUGGAGCAUAAGGACUGAGUCCUGUGUUCAAGGAAGGAACUGUUAACAGCAAAAUCAUUCCUAUCACCUCACCACAACACAUAACCUUCAGCUUAACCGUAACUUCAUUUUAAUGUGACCUUAAUAUGAUUUUUAGCUUGGUGUUUACUGGUCAUUUCUUGAUAUUAAUCAUAUUUUAGUUUGGUCUUCAACUGGCUUUAAACUAUCUUUUACUUGGCCUUCGACUGGUGUACAGCUGGCCUGCAUUUAACAUUCAAUUGGCCUUCAACAGGCAUUCGACUGAUCUUUGGUUAGCAUUCGUGUAGCGUACCACUGGCCAUCAUUUUUUGUCAAUCUCUGACUGCCCUUCAACUCGUAUUUAACUGCCAUUCGAAUAACAUGUGACUCACAUUCAACUGGCCUUUGGCAUCCGUAUAACAUUCCAGUAACCUUCUGGAGCUUGCUUGAGAAUUUGCUUUGAUUUUACUUAGCCUCUAAUUAACAUUCAACUAGCCUUCACACAGUCUUCACAUAGCCGUCAACUGGCAUUCAAAUGGAUUUCAGAUGGCAUUCAAAUAUCAUUCAACUCCCAUUUAAUGAGACAUUCAACAAGCAUUCAACAGAGCUUGAAUUAACAUUCGUAUAAAAUUCCCCUAACCUUCUGGAGUUUGCUUGGCAGUUGCUCUGAUUUUUAUUAACCUUUGUCUGGCAUUCAACUGGCCUUCAACUGACAUUUCACAAACCAUCAUAUACCCUGCAACACAAUUGCUUUCCCUCUGCAGGCCUUGUUCUAUUUAACAUUAUCCCAAACAAAUCAAAGAAGAAAAAGAUUCUAUCACCUUAUAUCUGAACACACCGCAGUCAACAACUCCCUACUUGAAUGGACAAUGAUACCACCAAACUUAACUUGAAAACGUAACUUAAGAGAUUUUAUCAUGUAAUGCUAUUAACCCUUUCGUUACUGUAUUUAUUUUGAGAUGCUCCAUGUUUCUUUCAAUUACUUUAAAUAUAACAGAGAAUUUAGUAAAAAUAACUCAGUUAUCAUGAAACUAGUGUUAAGAACUUAAAUUGUGACUAAGGCUUGGUGGAAGAUAUUAAUUUAGGACUUAUGAAAACAAGACAUUUGUACUACAGAGCCAGUCGUGGUUUCAGCCGGGUUGGUAACGAAAGGGUUAAGUUAGAUCUGGUUAUUGGCCGAAACAUAACUAAGUUUAUCUUAUUUAAUGAUUGAAAUAAAGGAGGAAAUAUACAGAGAUA
rnacentral:misc_RNA from 1 species